CAAAGUCAUCUGCCGACGAAGUUUUAAAAAGGCGUCCACAACUAGAAAGCCAAAAGGAAUUCUUGAGAGACUUGACGCAGGAGAAGUUGUGAUCGGUGAUGGCGGAUUCCUUCAUGCUCUGGAAAGGCGAGGCUACGUAAGAGCUGGUCCAUACACACCGGAAUGCACAGUAGAGAAUCCUGAGGCAGUAUCUGAUCAACAUUGACGAGACUGAAUGGGCGACGGAAACUUUGAAGUCUACUGGUAAAACUGUUGCCAUGACAAUGUCCAUCAGCCCUCAAGGCGACGUUCGUGGGAAAGUUACUCCUGGCGAAGCAGCAAUCAGGCUUGCUAAAAUGGCUGUCAAAUGAAGGAGGAAAGCUUCCAUCUUCCAUCAGCAAGUUCAAAGCACGGAUUUUGGGGAGAGGCGUUAAAGUUUUCUUGUAAUGCCUCCAUUAAAAUACUAUUACAUUUAUUUCCCCUUGAUUAACUAUUCAUUUGUUUCUUUAUUUGUUUGUCUGUUUUUUUUUUUCCACAUGGAUGACGAGUGCCUUCCCCAUUGGCCGAUAGACAAAGAUCAAGUAUUAUGACAGCUGAAAAAAUCGGGAAAUGAACAGACAGGCAACUGUACAGAUAGAAGGGGAGACAAAUGAUUGGAAAGACGGGCAUACAGACAAACAAAAAACUCAAGAGAGAGACUGACAGACAAAACAGAUGGUGGACAAACAGAUAAAACACAAUUAGAAAGACAUGCUGACAGACAGACAGACAGACAAACACACCAUCAAAUGGACAGGCAGACAGACUGAUUCAAGGGCUGACAGUUGGACGGCCGGGCUGACAAACGACAGUAAGAUUCACGUUUAACAGACUCCUUAAUUAGGGAGUGAACGGAAUUUUGUCACUACCUGUUUAUACUGUCAUUUCUCACAGUUACAGAAUUGGUAGACAAUACUGGUAGAAUCUCAAACCAGCCUCUGGGCGACUUGACUGCCCGGCAAUGUCCGGGCCUUUAUCCUACAAUUAGAAGGUUUGAAUGAAAGUUUUUUUCGCACUUGCCUAGAGCAAGGAGUACUUGUGGGGCGCCUUGAUUGAAGGAGGAUAUGAUUGAAAAAUCGACAAAUAACAGGUGGUUAGCUGUUAUCUGUGCAGAUAUUCGUAACCUUCCCCCCUCCAGUUUUAGAGAAUAAAGGAGACCACAUUAUUCUGCAAGGAUAAGUCUUAAUUUAUUUACAAUCCGUCCAUCUUGUUCAGAACUUUGCAGGCAGGAUAGUCCUCGGCCUAAGAAAGUACGAUCGCAUUUCUGAAGGCUUGAAGUCGCUGAAAUGGCUUCCUAUUGCCGAUAAACUUUUUUUAAAAUGAUUCUGUUAUGAUUCACAAGUGCUUAAAUGGACUGGCGCCUGACUAUCUCAGUCAAAAAUUUACAAGGAGACUAGAACUAGAUAACAGAAAUACACGAAAUUAAAAAUAUCUGAACCUACCAAGAUGCCGGUUAAAAACUGGGCAACGAUCGUUCGUCUACAGAGGCGCUGCAUGUUGGAAUAGUCUCCCAAAGACCUUAAUAAGGAGGCAGCGGACGGUAAAAUCUUUAAGAAGAGACUUGUCAAUAUGCUUUUAGCCUGAUUUUUAUUUUGUCUCUGUAUUAUUUUAAUUAGUUAGUAAUUUAGUUCAAUUCUUCUUGUUAAUUAUUUAGUCUCAGCAUAUUGUGGCUGAAAAGCCCUGUCAAGGGAGCUUCAAUAAAAUGUAUGUAUGUGUGUAUCUUAAGAACCAAACUUUGAAAAAUUAUUUGCAAAAUUAAUAAUGAGCAUCACGACAAGAAGGAAAAAGCAAUGACAGAAUUGCGCAAAUUAAUUACAGUUUAACGAUAAAAAAAGAAACCUGAUAAAUAAGAAAAUUGCUAAAUGACUAAAGGAAAAGAUGAUGCCUUUUUAUGAGUACUAAGAGUUUGGUACGAACUAAUUUUUUCAAAUCAAACGGUGCCGUUCUCGUCUUUCGUUUCUUGCUAUGGUUUUCGUUGUUACCAUUUUAGUCGCUGUUGCAGUUCGUUUUUUUUUUUUUAAUUCAACUCUACUCGAACGCGUACGACUGCGUAUAAUUCAACCAUUAGCUACUUUUGAUAAAUAACUGGAAGGUAUCUUGGGAAAUUAUUAGCAAUCUGACUCUCGAAACAAGUUUUACUUUAAAUAGUUGCUAGAUUGUUCAUAUUCUUGUACUAUUUAAUUCAGCUAUUUAAUCAUCAGGACUUUAUAACGUUAAAGUGCACCUAAACCCAAAAAUUUUUUUUCGCUUAACGAAAUAAGUUUAUAUUUUGGAGUAUUUCUG